rnacentral:rRNA from 1 species
UACGUAGGGUGCAAGCGUUGUCCGGAAUUAUUGGGCGUAAAGAGCUCGUAGGCGGCUCGUCGCGUCGGCUGUGAAAACCUGGGGCUCAACCCCGGGCCUGCAGCCGAUACGGGCGAGCUAGAAUUCGGUAGGGGAGACUGGAAUUCCUGGUGUAGCGGUGAAAUGCGCAGAUAUCAGGAGGAACACCGGUGGCGAAGGCGGGUCUCUGGGCCACUACUGACGCUGAGAAGCGAAAGCAUGGGGAGCGAACAGG